rnacentral:rRNA from 1 species
GGUUAAGCGACUAAGCGUACACGGUGGAUGCCCUGGCAGUCAGAGGCGAUGAAGGACGUGCUAAUCUGCGAUAAGCGCCGGUAAGGUGAUAUGAACCGUUAUAACCGGCGAUUUCCGAAUGGGGAAACCCAGUGUGAUUCGUCACACUAUCAUUAACUGAAUCCAUAGGUUAAUGAGGCGAACCGGGGGAACUGAAACAUCUAAGUACCCCGAGGAAAAGAAAUCAACCGAGAUUCCCCCAGUAGCGGCGAGCGAACGGGGAGGAGCCCAGAGCCUGAAUCAGCAUGUGUGUUAGUGGAAGCGUCUGGAAAGGCGCGCGAUACAGGGUGACAGCCCCGUACACAAAAGCGCAUAUGCUGUGAGCUCGAUGAGUAGGGCGGGACACGUGGUAUCCUGUCUGAAUAUGGGGGGACCAUCCUCCAAGGCUAAAUACUCCUGACUGACCGAUAGUGAACCAGUACCGUGAGGGAAAGGCGAAAAGAACCCCGGCGAGGGGAGUGAAAAAGAACCUGAAACCGUGUACGUACAAGCAGUGGGAGCACAGGUUUACCUGUGUGACUGCGUACCUUUUGUAUAAUGGGUCAGCGACUUAUAUUCUGUAGCAAGGUUAACCG